GAAUAUGGGUAUAUUAGUUUGG
rnacentral:miRNA from 1 species